rnacentral:rRNA from 1 species
CCUACGGGUGGCAGCAGUGAGGAAUAUUGGUCAAUGGGCGGAAGCCUGAACCAGCCAAGUCGCGUGAGGGAAUAAGGCCCUACGGGUCGUAAACCUCUUUUGCCGGGGAGCAAGGGCGGGGACGUGUCCCGGCCCGGAGAGUACCCGGAGAAAAAGCAUCGGCUAACUCCGUGCCAGCAGCCGCGGUAAUACGGAGGAUGCGAGCGUUAUCCGGAUUUACUGGGCGUAAAGCGCUCGUAGGCGGUAUGUCAAGUCAAGGGUGAAAUCCCCGCGCCCAACGUGGGAACUGCCUUUGAAACUGGCAAACUGGAGUGUGUGAGAGGAUAGUGGAAUUCCAGGUGUAGGGGUGAAAUGCGUAGAUAUUAGGAGGAACACCAGUGGCGAAGGCGGCUUACUGGCCUGUAACUGACGUUGAGGCUCGAAAGCGUGGGGAGCAAACAGGAUUAGAUACCCGAGUAGUC